UCGAUCUCAUAAUAUAAGCCCUACCUCUCUUAUAUCAAUACGACUCCGCGGUCGCGCCAUUGUUUCGAAAUCGACUCGACAUC
rnacentral:sRNA from 1 species